GAGAUCCCAAAGCAAUGGUUCAAUUUGAUUGACCUUGAUCAACUUCAUAAGAGAAUCAACAACGAUGUUGAGCUUACAGAUGUGUUUGGUUAUUUAACGGCUGUGCAGCCGAUUGAAGACGUGACUGUCCAAAAGUCAAGAAUUGCAAAGAAGAAGAAUCUUAACUUGCAAGAUAUCAGGGGCGAAACAAUUAGGAUCACCUUAUGGGGAGAAGCUGCAACAACUUUUGAGGACAGUGGAAUAAAAUCCCUUCCACCACCUAUCUUCGCUGCUGUAACAAGCCUCAAAGUCAAAGAAUACCAAGGAAACCCUGUUCUUGGAAGCACUGGAUCAACUAUUUAUAUUUUCAAUCCAGAGAUUCCGCAGCUCACCCAAUAC